rnacentral:tmRNA from 1 species
GGGGCUGAAAUUUAUGCUCGACAGUGGACCUUUACAAGUUAGUUUGCAAGCCGCUUGUCAGCGUUAUAGGCAACUACGAAUAAGUGCAAAUACACGAAUUCGCGAAUUUGUAGCUAAUUUAAGCGAGAGCGUUCGCGCUUUUGCCUCUACAUUGGCUCCAGUUUCAGUUACAGUUUAAUUACUGUAACCGUGCCUGAUGCGACGCCAGAUAGUUUCAGCGCAUGUCAUAUUUUCUGGAUGCUCUUGGCUUUUGAUCCGUAGCCAGGCUAAGAUUUAGGAUCAACCUUUGUGAUUUUUUGUCCGCUUAUAUUUCACGAAGUAUCUAAACGGACUACGCUUGUAGAAGACUAACAUUGUAAACCAUUGGACGUGGGGGCAGUACCCACCAGCUCCACCA